CGCCCAUUUCCUGUCACCUGAGUGCUAGGCCAAGGGGCUAGGGAGGUCUAUUAUAGUACCGUAGUAGAUGUAAGAUUAUGUCUAGAUAUAUAGCUAUGGCCCCAGUGCAGUGAUAGUAAGAUCAAGAAGUUAAACAAAAGCUGGUUGCAUCGGUGGUACUCAGUCUUGCAAUGAACCGUUGCCGUCUUUGUCCAAUAUCGAAAUGGAGUCAAAACAAAUCUACCAAGCGUUUGACCACCAACCUGAUAUGGUGAGAAAAGUACACAGGCACGACAAUACACUCCAUCAGAACAUUGACUGUAAUGCACCCACGGGUAUGAUCUCAGCCAUUCUGGUUUGAACCGACGGAAAUUGCUUGAAGGACAUGGUCUGGUGCGUGGAUAGCUCUCUGGAUCAGUAUUGGGAUUGGUAGUCAAGAUUCGAUACUUGUGAUCUCUUGUUAAACUCUUAAUAUCUACCCCUGAGUUAAGGAGUUUCCCAAUGUCGCAAUCAUCACUUGAGGUAGCACCACCUAAGCCACACUGGAUAACGCAGUCACCCUCCUCCAUAUCAAGUUCACUGUCUGAAUCUUCGGUGUCACUGGGGACGUCAGUAGGGGGAGACGAGUCAGCGGGGCUGACAAUAGCAUCCUGUGACUCCUGUGACUCUGAACCUACAAUUGAAGUUGUUUUUAUUUAUAAGUUUUGUUGUUUAUGUAUCAUAAUUUAUAUGAUUUGGAUUUUUAUUUAUGUGAAACCGUACCUGCUUUACUCUUUUUGAAGAAUGUUGAAAUUGGCACUUGACUUGGUCUCUUCCUGUUACUCAUUGUUGUAUAAUAGGUUGAACAUAAUUACCACAAUCAAAGCUGCAUGACCACUGCACACACAUGCAUGGAUGUGGGUUUAUCCCCAUCUUGUAUCCAAUUAAUUACUGCUUACUAUGCAGUUUUUGCAACGCGAUCAGUUGAGAAAGAGUAAAGAAGCUGCCACUGCUUUUAGCUAAGUUCUGUUCCUUCUAGAGUGGACUACAUGCAGAUUGCUAAAAAUCAAUUUUAAUAUUUUGAGCAAAAGGGGGGUUCCUUUGCUCCCUUGGAUCUCCCCCUGGAUCCGCCUCUG